GAUGAACGCUGGCGGCGUGCCUAAUACAUGCAAGUCGAGCGAACAGACGAGGAGCUUGCUCCUCUGACGUUAGCGGCGGACGGGUGAGUAACACGUGGAUAACCUACCUAUAAGACUGGGAUAACUUCGGGAAACCGGAGCUAAUACCGGAUAAUAUAUUGAACCGCAUGGUUCAAUAGUGAAAGACGGUUUUGCUGUCACUUAUAGAUGGAUCCGCGCCGCAUUAGCUAGUUGGUAAGGUAACGGCUUACCAAGGCAACGAUGCGUAGCCGACCUGAGAGGGUGAUCGGCCACACUGGAACUGAGACACGGUUCAGACUCCUACGGGAGGCAGCAGUAGGGAAUCUUCCGCAAUGGGCGAAAGCCUGACGGAGCAACGCCGCGUGAGUGAUGAAGGUCUUCAGAUCGUAAAACUCUGUUAUUAGGGAAGAACAAAUGUGUAAGUAACUAUGCACGUCUUGACGGUACCUAAUCAGAAAGCCACGGCUAACUACGUG
rnacentral:rRNA from 1 species